rnacentral:lncRNA from 1 species
CUGGUUGAUGCGCCACCUUAGCUCCCCUUUGCUCCUCCUGUCCCUCUCCAUCAAUGAAGAACCCUCCUCCAAAGUCGACUGUUUUUUGCGACUUUAGCCGAGGUGCCACCCCGCUCUCUUGCCAAUGGUCUACUAGCCAGUCGGGGAUUGCCUCAGCAUCAGAGCCCGCUGUCUGUUCCGCUCGAUCUUAGCUUUCAUUGCAGUUUUUGGCUUUGGACUCCAAAAGAGAAGCGUCAUUCACUGGUGUGUAGAAGCUCCAAUAGAUCCAUCCCAAAAAGCAGGAGCUAAGUGUGUGUGCUUACAUUGUGACUGAUGCCGGAGUGUGUUGCAACUGAUCCAAAAAAGUAACCCUGUGCUGCCUCUUCUUUCAAUCUUUCUCUAAUCAAAGCAAAAGUUUAAAUCCACUUUCAUCAAUAAUUCUAUAUUUUCCUGAACUCGAUCCAUAACUUUAUUCGUAUCGCCAGUUCCUAUGCCCAUUCAUCAUUAAGUGAUCACAAACACAAGUUACAAACAUUUAAAGCAUUUAUUUAACAAUGACAAAUUGUAGCUUAUAUUUCCAAUGGACAGUUUCUUACAGAAAGGAAUACGUUUUCAAUGAAACUACAUAAACGUUUCAUGUAGAAACUACCAAUCUGAAGUAUAUGUACUGGACUGAACAGAAAUGUGGAAGUGUGCUAUAGGUAUCCUAUAGAAUACUCUCUGGCUGUGGUCUGAUUAUCUUCUCUUCUAACAGAAGUUUGCACUCACUCCAUUACAUUAAUGUAAUCAUGGGUAGGGAGAAGUUUAAACCCUAUUUUACACCAGUCCAUUCCUUUUACAUCCAUGAGGGGGAGUAAAUGAGUGCAGAAUAAGGGUACAAAAUUGGAACAUAUUCCCAUUUUCUCUGUCACACACUAAAACGAUGUGAGGGUGCGCACACACACACACACACACACACACACACACACACACACACACACACACACACACACACACACACACACACACACAGUAUAUUGCUGCUGACAGUAUCCCUGUGCAAGUCACUCAGUUCAAAUUGACCUGUUCUCUCUUCCUCUGCAUUGCAUAAUUCUUCAUUGACCUUUUAGGAGGCACUAGGGUGUUACUCAGCCCUACUCUCCUCUUCCUAGACUGCUGACCCUCCUCUUCAGGGUCUCCUCCCUGGUUGUGGUGAAAGUUCUGGCGACCCAUGUAUGAAAAGCCCCCCGCGUUGGGGUCAGCUUGGUCCGAUCCGGGAUCGUCACCCGCAGGGGGGUCAUACUCAUUGGGAAUGAUGGAGCUCUGGAGGUCGCUGUCAUGGGCAAACUUGCAUUUGAUCCCGAACCUGCAGCGUCCGUCCUUCCUGUACGCCACGCACAUCCUCUUGCCUCCUAUCUGGGAGGGCCGGGCCAGCAGAGUGAGAGGGACGUGCUUCUGCAAGACGUUGAGCUUCUGGUCGGCUUGCGCCUUAAAGGGGUUGGCGAAUACGCCACUCUUGGAUGAGGCCCCGAGGGGUGGAGGGGGGAGUUUGUGGGAGAGGGAACUAGAGGAUGCGGGGAGGAGAGGGGUCCGGGACUCAGAGGGGGGUGCCAUACAGGCAGGAGGAGGGCAUUUAGGUUUUAGUUGAGAUACGGGGUCCCCCUCUUCCUCUGGGUUGAAGUCACAGUCUGACUCGCUGGAGGCUGACCCGGACUCUAGGAGGAAAUUGCGGCUCUUCUUCUGGGUCUCUCCAUCCACCUUGCUCUCAGUCCUUCAAAUAAACAACUUCUUGUUUCCAAUAUCCCCGUCGCUGUCAGAAUCAGAGGACACGCCAUAGCCAACGAGAAAAUUCAUGUCAGCUUGCUGCUAGCCUUACGUUAGCUAGCUAGUAUCUAUAUUUUUCCGUCUCUUCGUCCUUCUUUCGCUUUAAUCCAGUCACACAAAUUGCGGUCUUCGUCUUAUGUUUGAUUGAACUAGCAGUUAUACUCCGUAUGAAGAUGUUUGUUGUAGUUCUGUUGUUGGUGUAGCUACAAUUUGCUUAUCCAAAGGAAAGUGUAAGCGACACAACAACAAAAAAGCACCUCUGGGUCACCGAAUUUCGAAAAUCUUCAAAAUAAAAGUUCCCUGCGUACUACUACUUCUUAUUCGAUUAGGUUUAACGGCGGUUGGCAUCCAGUAAAUGUUGCAUUACCG